CAGCAGAGCCCAGGUCAGAACUCUUCACUGUCCUUGCCAGGGCAACACUUCCAGAAGAUUUCAGUGAUGCCUUCCUACUGGUGUCAGCCCCUAGGGCAGCCUUGCUUACUGUGCAAAGACGCUCCAGGUUACUGCUACACAGAGAUGAGACGCAGUGAUGCCAGGCUCUGAGACGUCACUCAAAGCCAGCUGCUAGUUGAGACAGGUUCCUGGCAAUUGAAGCUGCUUUGCAGCACCCAGCAGCAGGGAUUGCUGUGUAGGAGCUUGAGCAACCCAGGGCUUUGCGCUGCCCACACGACCAGCCCUUCCUGGGAGGCCUCACAAGCCACGCACAUGCAUGCCUUGACAUGGCCAAGAAUGAAGAAGCUUGGCUGGGUUCUUCCUCCUCCCCCUGCUUUAAUGUCACCAAACCCAGCUGCUGCUUUCAUCACAUGUCCCUUGGCAGGAGGUGAAGAGAAGCAGGCUGCUGGGUACAGUUGCCAAAGACACCGCAGGAAGUCAAGGGCAGAUGCAUGGUGUGGCAGCCAGGACUGAGAUGCUGCUCUGCAAACAGACCCAGCCCUCCUUCUGCUCAGCCUGUGCCUCCCGGGAGCACCCGGCUGGCUUUGAACCUCCCGCUGCUCCACAACCUGCUCAGCCCCGCAUGCUGACUCCAGGCGAUGGACACAUCUCUCCUUCCUUCCUACCCUGCUGAAUGCCUUCCCUCUUUUCCCUUCUCUGCUCACCU